UAAUGAUCUGUAACAUUUCUGUCAAAUGUUCUACAACCCACAGUAAAGCUUUCUGCUGAUAUAGAGGCAGAAACUCCUUAGAAACAUGAUCGAGUCACACUUCAGCAAACUGAGAGUUGUUCCUCUGACGAGGAAGAGUCAGCUCUUAGAUGACUGGCAUUCUUCUGAAACCCUAAAAUUGAUGAAUUCUCAGAGAGCUGAAGCCAAUAAAGAGCUCACAUUUUGCAGGCCAGGAGGAAGAGAAGAUUUUAUUUUCCUUUCAACCGGAGUGAAACUGCUUCACAGGCAGGGCUGGUGGGCUUUAUCUUUGUGUUCUCGGGAACUGUCACAGUGCCUGGAGCUUAGAAGGAACUCCAAAAAUAUUUAUGAAGCUGAAAAUAUCACCAGGUUGUUAAUAAAACUUCAAAUUGCCCCCCUACCUCCCCAUCCCAUUUUCACAUCAAACCAACACCAUGUGAGAGACUUCUGCUUCUGGUUUGGUCAAGUAGCCCCUCUGGGGCCAACCCUCAUAAAGAUAAAAACUACGAACUCUGGACAAUACAUAUUGAAAAAACCCAAUUACUUGAAGGCACUAGACAGUGAAUACAAGCACACAGAUACCGGAAGAGAGCCAAUUCAUGGACAACGUGGGAAAAAUCAGAGAUGGAGAGCCUCAAAUUCUGUUUCUAAACUCUGCCUAAAUCUCUGGCUAAUCUCUGAAUCACGUACGUGCAAGAAAUUGACUUAAAAAAAAUCAAUAGUCUUCCAAAGAACAUAACAGAAUUCAGAGUUUCUAUAACAUAUUUCCCAUAAUGUCUGGGAUAUAACCCAAAAUUAAUUGAUGUAUGAAGAAACAGAAACACAUGAUCUAUACGUAAGGAAACACAAAAUUUAUAACAAUGUGAUAUGGAGUUUAUAAUGUAUGUUGAUGUAACGCAUGUUAGAACCAUAGCAUAAACGAGGUGGGUUUCUAUAUUUUAUAUGAGGUAGUACAAUAUUAACUCUAAAAUUGGCUGUGAAAAAUUAAGAAUGUGUAUAGUAAUCCCUAGAGCGAACACUAAAAAUAAAAUGCAGCAGGAAUAGCUAAGAAGUCA
rnacentral:lncRNA from 1 species